rnacentral:rRNA from 1 species
UUUAAUUCGAUGCACGCGAAGAACCUUACCUGGUCUUGACAUCCACGGAAGUUUUCAGAGAUGAGAAUGUGCCUUCGGGAACCGUGAGACAGGUGCUGCAUGGCUGUCGUCAGCUCGUGUUGUGAAAUGUUGGGUUAAGUCCCGCAACGAGCGCAACCCUUAUCCUUUGUUGCCAGCGGUCCGGCCGGGAACUCAAAGGAGACUGCCAGUGAUAAACUGGAGGAAGGUGGGGAUGACGUCAAGUCAUCAUGGCCCUUACGACCAGGGCUACACACGUGCUACAAUGGCGCAUACAAAGAGAAGCGACCUCGCGAGAGCAAGCGGACCUCAUAAAGUGCGUCGUAGUCCGGAUUGGAGUCUGCAACUCGACUCCAUGAAGUCGGAAUCGCUAGUAAUCGUGGAUCAGAAUGCCA